AGGGCAGGGGGGUAACCGCAGAUCCCACGCGGCGGUUCCUGGCCUCGGCGGUCGCGCAUCCCGCGCGUUCGCACGGUUGUCGCUCGGGGUGAUCGCCC
rnacentral:sRNA from 1 species